rnacentral:lncRNA from 1 species
GAACUACCGGGUUGUGCCCUGAGCUAAACGCAGAGAGAGGCUGGAGAGGGCGCCAUGGGGAGAAUCCGGUAUCGCCAUCUCUUCGGCAGGGGCAUAUAGCCUAGGAACACCGCGUCUCAUGUCGAACACGUUCGUGGAGGUGGUGGGCUCUAACAGAUGUGGUGGGGGAACAGAUUGCCACCGGAGCAUUUCCUCUCCGCAAAUCCGCACCACGUCAUGGUCGGGGUGACUGCGCGCUAAAUCCUUGGUGAGUAACCUUUGAUCCGUGUCGCCGAUUACUCCUCUUCAUAUUGCAUCUAUCGGAUUUUGCUAUAGUGCGCUUGGGACCGAAAACGCGGUGCUCCGGCUAUGGCGCCGCCGCCCCUGGUGACCAGCGCUACCGUGUCCUACUGUUGAUUGGGGGGGAACAGGAGCCGUUGGUUGUCUGAUGGACAGCUCGAAUUACCCCAGGGAUACCGCUUUGGUGGAAUUGAAAUCGCGACCGUUCGAUUUUGAUCCUGCGCGAGUGAAGCAUCGGCACUGUUUUAAAAUCAUGACCGUCCGAUCAGAAUCGGACAGUGCGGGCUGCGUACCGGUUCAGUGAGCCAAGAUCUAAUCCCGGCCUUCGAUAUUUGAUCGGACGGUCGAAGUCUAUCAAUACCCCUUCGCCGUGACCUUUAGCUAAAGAGCCCCUGAAAUAUUCAUGAAUCAACCCGCAGUCCCCGCGGGAGUAGUCUGAGUUUGGUAGGCUUUUGUAAUUUUAACCCCGGGCUUCUAUGUAUUAGUGUGCUUAGUCCAGCGACUUAAGAAAAUAGGAAAAACAAAUAAUAAAAUACUUUUUUAGCACAAAAAUAAUUCUAGAACUUGUGUAAUUCCUAGAACAUCCAUUUUUGCUCCAAAUUGACCCAUUCCAGUUGCAAUAAUUUUGUAUUAAUAUUGUCUAUCAACUAGUAACACUGUUUAAUCAUGAAACUUGAAUUAAAAUUGUUCAUUGGAAAUAAUCUAGUCUAGGUGCUUAAUAAUUUCGGAAAUUCAUAACUUAAUAACCGUAGCUCCGAAUUUAGUGGUUCUUGUUUCUACGAUCUCGUUACGCAGCGUAGAUUAUUAUUACGCAGUUUAUUCUUAUGUUUGGUGUGAUGUUAAUUUUGCCUAUACCAUGUUUGUUUGUAUUUCUCGACUAGUGUGAGGUCACGAGUCAUCUAAGGAUCAUCCUGGUACCUGGAAUCUCAAGUCCCAGGCAAGUUGUGUCCUUGAUCACUUACUUUUACCCAUCCAUGUUCUUAUUAUUCAUAAUGAUCUGCAUAGGUUAAUUUUGAUGGGAUCCAAUAGGUUACCCCAGUUUUGGCUAUCUUUAUACCUUGUUUUACCACUGAAUACUUUUGGGCAGUACUUGCUAUUGCUUAUUGUGGUUCUGGGUAUGGAGAUACACUAUUCAUGAUUACACUUUUAUUAUUUGUUUAUUGCUACUGUUCAUGUUAAGAUCAUUAUGUUAAUGGGAACAUGGAGCGACCACCCAGGAAACAGUGCUACCACAAGGGUAUUAUGGGAUGCCCUUGACUAACUAGGAAAGCUAGUGGAGGACUACCUUACCCGAAAGGGGCAAGGGCAGUAGGGGAGUGGUCAGUGUAGGGAGGUCCUUGUGUUUAUUUUGCUGCGAUGGCGGUCAGGCGAGGGAUCCCUGCACUGGAGCUUCCUAUAAACUGUAGCGGGUUUUCUGAAACUAGUGGAACUUUGUAAAGGCCUUGUAGUGUUACCCUGCCUCGCCUCCUCGAUAGAGGUGUAUGGGAUUGGUCGUCUCUUGGUAGAUGGGUAACAUGACUUGUGCGUAAAGAUGUGCAACCUCUUUAGAGUGUAAAACUGGUAUACUAGCCGUGCUCAUGGUCAUGAGCAGCUCGGACACUCACAUCAUUAAUUUAUGGAACUAAAUUCAAUGUCAUAUGCAUUGCAUCGUGGGUGUUGUUAUUACUUUUGUUCUACUACUUAAUUGGGUUGAUAUUUACUUGUACUUAGUAAUUGCUAAUAAAAUUUUGACCAACUUUAAAAGCAAUGCUCAGCUUCAACCAUCCUCUUUGGUAAGCCUUACACUACACGUGAGCUCCCACCUUUGGCGAGUUCAUACACAUUAUUCCCCACAACUUGUUGAGCGAUGAAAGUAUGUGAGCUCACUCUUGCUGUCUCACACCCCCAAAGGUCAAGAACAGGUACCGCAGGAUGAGGCGCAUGGAAGAUGCUGUGACGAGUUUGUGAGAGGUCUAGGCCGUCGUCUCCCAGUCAACUUUGGGUUGCUGAAUCGUUGUCUUCAUAUGAUGUAAUUAUUCAAUU